rnacentral:rRNA from 1 species
GGGGAAUAUUGCACAAUGGGCGAAAGCCUGAUGCAGCAACGCCGCGUGAGUGAUGAAGGCCUUCGGGUUGUAAAGCUCUGUCUUUUGGGACGAUAAUGACGGUACCAAAGGAGGAAGCCACGGCUAACUACGUGCCAGCAGCCGCGGUAAUACGUAGGUGGCAAGCGUUGUCCGGAAUUACUGGGCGUAAAGAAUGCGUAGGUGGAUAUGCAAGUCAGAUGUGAAAUACCCGGGCUCAACUUGGGUGCUGCAUUUGAAACUAUAUAUCUAGAGUGCAGGAGAGGAAAGCGGAAUUCCUAGUGUAGCGGUGAAAUGCGUAGAGAUUAGGAAGAACACCGGUGGCGAAGGCGGCUCUCUGGACCGAUACUGACGCUGAGACGCGAAAGCGUGGAUAGCAAAC